UUGCUUCAGCAGCACAUAUACCAAAAUUGGAACAAUACAGAGAAGAUUAACACGGCCCCUGUGGAAGGAUGACAUGAAAAUUCUUGAAGAGUUCCAUAUUUAA